AGAGUUUGAUCCUGGCUCAGGACGAACGCUGGCGGCGCGCCUAACACAUGCAAGUCGAACGGAGCUGAGAGGAGCUUGCUUUUCUUAGCUUAGUGGCGAACGGGUGAGUAACGCGUGAGUAACCUGCCCUGGAGUGGGGGACAACAGUUGGAAACGACUGCUAAUACCGCAUAAGCCCACGGCCCGGCAUCGGGCUGCGGGAAAAGGAUUUAUUCGCUUCAGGAUGGACUCGCGUCCAAUUAGCUAGUUGGUGAGGUAACGGCCCACCAAGGCGACGAUUGGUAGCCGGACUGAGAGGUUGAACGGCCACAUUGGGACUGAGACACGGCCCAGACUCCUACGGGAGGCAGCAGUGGGGGAUAUUGCACAAUGGGGGAAACCCUGAUGCAGCGACGCCGCGUGGAGGAAGAAGGUUUUCGGAUUGUAAACUCCUGUCGUUAGGGACGAUAAUGACGGUACCUAACAAGAAAGCACCGGCUAACUACGUGCCAGCAGCCGCGGUAAAACGUAGGGUGCAAGCGUUGUCCGGAAUUACUGGGUGUAAAGGGAGCGCAGGCGGACCGGCAAGUUGGAAGUGAAAACUAUGGGCUCAACCCAUAAAUUGCUUUCAAAACUGCUGGCCUUGAGUAGUGCAGAGGUAGGUGGAAUUCCCGGUGUAGCGGUGGAAUGCGUAGAUAUCGGGAGGAACACCAGUGGCGAAGGCGACCUACUGGGCACCAACUGACGCUGAGGCUCGAAAGCAUGGGUAGCAAACAGGAUUAGAUACCCUGGUAGUCCAUGCCGUAAACG
rnacentral:rRNA from 1 species